GAUGAAGAACGUAGCGAAAUGCGAUAAGUAAUGUGAAUUGCAGAAUUCAGUGAAUCAUCGAAUCUUUGAACGCACAUUGCGCCCGCCAGUAUUCUGGCGGGCAUGCCUGUCUGAGCGUCAUUUCAACCCUCAUGCCCCUAGGGCGUGGUGUUGGGGAUCGGCCAAAGCCCGCGACGGACGGCCGGCCCCUAAAUCUAGUGGCGGACCCGUCGUGGCCUCCUCUGCGAAGUAGUGAUAUUCCGCAUCGGAGAGCGAUGAGCCCCUGCCGUUAAACCCCCAACUUUCCAAGGUUGACCUCAGAUCAGGUAGGAAUACCCGCUGAACUUAAGCAUAUCAAUAAGCGGAGGA
rnacentral:misc_RNA from 1 species